rnacentral:rRNA from 1 species
GGAAUUGUUCGCAAUGGGCGAAAGCCUGACGACGCAACGCCGCGUGAAGGAUGAAGGUCUUCGGAUUGUAAACUUCUGUUGCUUGGGAAGAAUGACUCCGGCCUAACACGUCGGGGUGUGACGGUACCAAGUGAGGCAGCCCCGGCUAACUCUGUGCCAGCAGCCGCGGUACUAAAGAGGGGGCAAGCGUUGUUCGGAAUUACUGGGCGUAAAGGGCGCGUAGGCGGCCUGUUAAGUCGAACGUGAAAUCCCCGGGCUAAACUCGGGAACUGCGCUCGAGACUGGCAGGCUUGAAUCCGGGAGAGGGAUGCGGUAUUCCAGGUGUAGCGGUGAAAUGCGUAGAUAUCUGGAGGAACAUCGGUGGCGAAGGCGGCAUCCUGGACCGGUAUUGACGCUGAGGCGCGAAAGCUAGGGUAGCAAAC